UAAGAUAAAGAAAAAGGACUCGUAUCUCGAAGAAGGAGUGUUUCCAAUGCGGUAUUUUUUCAGACGUUCACCCUUUCACGUUCGGAAUCCACGGAUCAAUGUUGCAGCGACUGUGCUACCCGUGCUGCGACCACAUGUCAGAAUCCAUAAUGCGCCGCAAUUCAUGGAACAUUGAUCUUUAUCUCAAAGUUACUGGCAUCACACGGAUGCUGUCGCGACAAUUGGAAUUUGGAGGACAACGAUUUUUCAAAGAAUGAAUAUUUUCCUCGGAGAACUAGAUUAUGUGUAUCACAGAUUUAAUCCUUAUACGGUUGAACAAUAAUAUAUCGUCGUUGUAGAUACAACUAGAGAAAAAGUUGUUUUCUCAAUACUAUUAAUAAACAACACUUUAAUUUCUUCA